rnacentral:rRNA from 1 species
ACACGAACCGUCCGAACGUUAUUCGGAAUUAUUGGGCUUAAAGGGUGCGUAGGCGGUGCGGUUAGUUGGGUGUGAAAUCCCUCGGCUUAACCGAGGAACCGCGCCCAAUACUGCCGCACUUGAGGGAGACAGAGGUAAGCGGAACUGAUGGUGGAGCGGUGAAAUGCGUUGAUAUCAUCAGGAACACCAGUGGCGAAAGCGGCUUACUGGGUCUCUUCUGACGCUGAGGCACGAAAGCUAGGGUAGCGAACGGGAUUAGAAACCCCAGUAGUCC